GGUAAAGUGGCUGAGUUAGGCGGUAGAUUGUAAAUUUACUAACAAAAUUAAUAUUUUCUUUACCA
rnacentral:tRNA from 1 species